rnacentral:misc_RNA from 1 species
GAUGAAGAACGCAGCGAAAUGCGAUAAGUAAUGCGAAUUGCAGAAUUCAGUGAGUCAUCGAAUCUUUGAACGCACAUUGCGCCCCUUGGUAUUCCAUGGGGCAUGCCUGUUCGAGCGUCAUUUGUACCUUCAAGCUUUGCUUGGUGUUGGGUGUUUGUCUCGCCUUUGCGUGUAGACUCGCCUUAAAAUAAUUGGCAGCCGGCGUAUUGAUUUCGGAGCGCAGUACAUCUCGCGCUUUGCACUCAUAACGACAGCGUCCAAAAGUACAUUUUACACUCUUGACCUCGGAUCAGGUAGGGAUACCCGCUGAACUUAAGCAUAUCAAUAAGCGGAGGA